UUUCCUUUCCCUUCACAUUAAUAACUGUCUGGGAAUCAUCAGUGUCGACCACACACGUGCCAGACUUCAAGGACACCGCUUUUUACAGUAUACUGUAGCAUGAUUCAUUUGAAGUUAGCCAAGUACUUUCUGCUCCGUGGCGCUCAGGGGAGUUGAAGUGACGUCUCUGUCCUGCCUGCAAUCUCCCUCCAUCCCCUCGCUCUUCCUCUCUCUCUUGUAUCACUUAAUCAAGACAUAGCUUGCCCUUUCCUGUUCAUUGCUGCCUCCCUCCCUCCCGUAUGCUCUGUUCCGCUAUUUGUUUGUCCUCGCUUUAUUCUCUUUGGCUCUUUCCCUUCCACGCUCCUGCCUCGUGGUUCUCCUCGCCCUUCGUUUAAACAAGCUCCACACAAGUCCACAGCAAGACAACAAGAAAGGACAUGCAGAAGAGAGGCAAGUGAGGAGGAUGACAACAGAAGAAUCGACAACGGCAAAGGAGGGAUGAGAAAGAGACUGAAAUAAGAGAAGGAAGUGGAACUCCAAAGUGCCUACUGCGAGGGGUCGUCUGCCGAUGUUAAGCUGCUGGAUGAGAGCAGGACGUGGCUCAGUGUGUGUUUGGCCUUGAAUGGAGGCUAUAUUUUAUCCUGACAGCCACAGAGUCAUCCAUCCCACGUUGCUGAGCUGCAGUCCCCACAUAGCGUGAGCUGAGCCGCCACCUCGUCUCAUCACUGCAAGGACACCAUCCCUAAAAGGUUCUGCUUUGGUUUCUGCUCUACGGAAGUCUUCUUUUUUUUUAGGCCGUUCAAACACAACUGCAGUGACUGCCCCAGCCCCGGCCAUGUUGACGUGAACGUACCAGUGACUUACGGCGGGCGUCAGUCGAUUCAGGUGAAGGCACCGACGCUCAGUGUCACAUGCCAGAGUGAUGUCCUCAGAGUAGCUCCUGUUUUUCCUUUUUUUCUUUUCUUCUUGGAGACAGAGCUGGCCUCUGCUCACAGUCUGCCACCUUUAUCUCAAACUUCAGCUGCCACUUUUCCCAGGAAGAACUAAUAAACAUUCCCUAAAAUACACCAACCAGAAGGACUCGCUGCCUAUUUGCACUGAGGAAAAAACAAGAAUAUUUUUGCUGGAUCACUAUUAGUCACCCUUGCUCCCAUCAGACUGUUUUCUGUCCAUCUGCCCUCAUCGCUGCUCAGUGUUUGUGAGCGACUCUGAUCACUGCUCAGUGUUUGUGAGCGACUCUGAUGGCUGUCAGCAUGACCAUGGGACGGGACACCAAAUGGCUGACCCUGGAAGUGUGUCGUGAGUUUCAGAGAGGCACCUGCUCGCGGUCUGAUGCUGAGUGCAAGUUUGCUCACCCCUCCCGGAGCUGCCAUGUGGAGAAUGGCCGAGUCAUCGCCUGCUUUGACUCACUCAAGGGGCGCUGCACCCGUGAGAACUGUAAAUACCUGCACCCACCGCCUCACCUGAAGACCCAGCUGGAGAUUAACGGGAGGAACAACCUGAUCCAGCAGAAGGCCACGGCAGCCAUGUUGGCUCAACAGAUGCAGUUCAUGCUGCCCGGAACACAGUUGCAGCCUAUUACAACAUUCCCAGUGUCGCCCUCCCUGGCAACAUGCCCCAGUAUGGCGUUCAGUCCCUAUCUGAGCCACAUGGGCACCGGCAUGGGCUUGAUGCCCGAGUUGCUGCCCAGUGCUCCCCUGCUGAUCCCUGGGAGUCCCACCGGCCUGGCAGCCAUGGGCAACGGCACCUCCGCACAAAAGCAUGUGCGCACAGACAAGCUGGAGGUUUGUCGAGAAUUCCAGCGGGGUAACUGCACGCGGGGUGAGAGCGACUGCCGCUACGCUCACCCCCUGGAGGCCGGCAUGGUGGACUGCAGCGAGAACUCUGUCAUCGUCUGCAUGGACUACAUUAAAGGGCGCUGCAGCCGAGACAAGUGCAAGUACUUCCAUCCGCCGGCUCACCUGCAGGCCAGGAUCAAGGCUGCACAGCACCAAGCAAGUCACAACACAGCGUCCGCAGGCUUGGCUCUGCCUCCAGGCGCCAUGCAGCCGCCACCAAAGAGGCCGAUCUUAGAGAAGAGCAACGGCGCUGCCAUCUUCAAUCACAACAUGUUCCACUACCAGCAAGCGCUGGCUAACAUGCAGCUCCAUCAGCCAGCCUUCAUCUCCACUGGAAAUCCUUUUGAGUUUUCGGACUCGUUGUACUGGAACGCGGGCAAUUCGGGUGUGAUGUCAUUCCGUGCUCCGACGUCUGAUUUCUGAGUUCCCAUGAUGCACGGUGCCACCACCUCCACUGUUUCUUCGGCUUCGACCCAAGUCACCAAUGUUCCUUUCGCUGAAUCUGCCGCCUCGAAUCAGUAGACCCCUCCGAGCUUCUGACUCCUGAUCCAGUGGAGCUCCAGUGUGUUCCCAUGGAAACCCAUUUCUGUCAAGUACCCAAACUGCUGGUGGCUGCUCCGAUGACCCUAAACUCAGUAAGCCUUUCCCAAAACCCCAGUUAAAGCCCCCGAAACCAUGCGCACUACCAGGGCGGUCAUCUUUUCUGAAUGCAGCAAAAAUGUGCCUCGCCUACAGCGCACACUGAAUGAGUGUGAAACUUCCUAUAAGAUGUUAUGAACGUAAGAAAGCUGCGGUGAUGCACGCGAUACAAGCCUGGACGUAUUACUGUUGCUUUAACGCAGCCAUCCUGAUACAUACUGACUUGGCUGAGCAAUAGAGAUCCCUCGUUCGUACAGACAUACAUGCCCACACCUUAAAAGGGCAGCAGACACACAAACACACACACACACACACAUUUAAGACUACAUGCCCUUUAUGGGAUGGAGCAAUCUCAUGAUGCGACCCAACACUUUUGAGUCAGAAAUCCUGAAAAGCUAAUUCUGGAAAUUGAGAGCAUUCGAGCGGGAUAUGGACCCUCUGCUGGUCUACAACCAGUACGUACCGUCCAAAUGAAAGAGUGUUUCAUACCAUGUCAUGUUUACGUUUCAAGAUGGCUACAAAUGUAACAUUUGUGUUGUACCAUGUAUACCAUUCAGUGUGUUCUCAUGGUCUCAUCUUGCCUGAUGAAACGCCAACGAGUUGUUGUUCAUUUGUUUGUGCCUUUGAUUUAUCUGCUCAGCUGCAGAGGAGACUUAGUUUCACAAAUGAUUCAAAACACUAACAGCAUACAUUAUUACAUGUUAUUUUCAAUUAAAGGCAAUAGCUGUUGUUACAUAAAUGUAUCAACUUAUAGCUCCUAUUGUAAGAAACUAGGAAUUACAGUGAUCGGUACUUCAAAUUGAUAUUGUUUUAUGAAUGUAAUUUGAAUCACAGUCAGUAUCUGCUACUGAUGGGAUAAUAGCAGAAAAUUAGACAAUACUUUUCAUGUAAUGCAACAAAAUUAAAGAACUACAAAUUGA